rnacentral:misc_RNA from 1 species
GAACGAUGCACGGCAGUGUCGGGUGGAGGAGUAUGCGGUGGGGGCGGUGCAUCCGGUGCCGAGACAGGAGAGGGGAUGGAAGAAUGUGUUCAAGAUGGGGCCUGGCCGAGUAACGAGGAUUCUGGCCCGGUUUGCCAUGUUUCGCCCGGGCGUGGCAUACCCUUUCAAUGCAACGGCCGAGCCGGGAUACGUCUAUCACUGUCACAUCUUGGAUCACGAAGAUAAUGCCAUGAUGAGGCCUUUGAAGAUAAUAUCGUAAACAACAACGAUUAUACUAAUGUCUAAGUACUCUUUUUCAUAAUUUUUAGUUAUUGUUGAUG